UCUUCCUGUGUAAAAGGAGCUGUUCUCACAGCCCCUCUGCAGUUGCUGGGGUCCGGGGUGGGAUUCCCUGCCUAGAUGACGGUGGUGGCCCUUUACUCCAGCUCUCCCCGGUCCUCGCAGACUCAAGAUGAAAAGCGCCUAGAGAGGCCAUUCUGUCCAUCCCUGUGGCUCCAGGACGGACCACAACUGAGAAGACCUGCCAGUCCUGUGUGUUCACUCAUUCCUUCAAAAACCUUUCACUGAGCGCGAGCUCUGUGCAAAGUACCAGGAGCUUUACCUCAUGCCAGCACCUUAAAUCCCCACUAGGACCUUUGGAGAUGGACACUAUUACUCUACGGCGACUUGUCCAAAGAUCCAUUUCAAUCCAGUGCUCCUCUGUGACUCCUCCUGACUCACCCAAGUGGGACUGAUCUCAGUCAGCUUUGGGGCCACACCACACUUCGCAUAAUGUUACUAACUUCCAACCUAGUGCCUGGUACUCAACAAAUGUUUGGCGAAUGAAAGAUCACUUGGCCAGUAAAAUCGCCAGAGGUACCCAGCUUGCCAGCCAUGCCCAACACCUACUUCCUAAACCCCUUCCUCCAAGGCUUUGCCCUGCUGUUCUCUCUGUUCGUGAUGGCCAUUGCCACCCCCACCUGACUGCGAACCCCUGCUCAUCUCCCAAGAUUCUGCUCAAAAUAAGUUCCAAACUCAGGUGGGUGGUUCAUCUGGGAGGAAGCAAUCAGGGAGGAAAACCCUGGGGAUUAUUUUUAAUAUAUUAUUUCCUAAGCAGGAGGCUUGUUCUAUUAUUCUAUAUGCCUUCCCGUGUCUUAAAUAUUUCAUCAUAAUAUAUUUUCAAAAGAGAUUCAGUUCAAGCUAUACUUCCACCUUGAUUCCCACCUCCUGCCAUGUUUCCUUGUCAAGAAUCAAGCUCAGAAAUCCCUUGCCAUCAGUCAAAAGCAACUUCAUGUUUCUAAAGAUGCAUAGAAAUGAUUGUCACUGAUCUAGGAUCCUGGUCCCAUCUAGGUCGAGGAGUACACCAGGGACUUCAACAAUAACAGCAAUGCUGGGGUUUCUUAAAUUGGGCGGUGGGUGCAUGGGUGUUUGCUUUACAUCUAAAAUAUGAUAAAAUAAUUAAACACUUGGAAAAGCAACUCUAUCCGGAGUAAGAGGGACAGGAAGGAAAAAGGAAGGGAGAAGGAGCUUUAGAUGAGUUGAGUAAGAGAGAACAAAGGAGGCUCUCUGCUAGGCAUAAAGGGAUACAGUGCAUAACCAGGUUUGACUUGCAGGCGCAGAGCAAGAGCAGAGAGCCAUGGAAACGGCACAAGGCUGUGUCGUGCUGUAGUGAGCCAUGUGGUGGCUAAGAGCUUGAACCCUGGAACUAGACCAUCUGGGUUCAUGUCCUGAUGCAAUCGCUUGUUAACCCAUGACUUGGGCAACUUCAAUUUCUCCACCAUUAAAAAUGCUGGUGGGGAUCAAAUGAGAUGAAGUGUGUGAAGCUUGCACUGGUUGGUAUCCAGCAAGUGCAGAACAUUGUUUUUACUUGUGUUAGGACUUAUUAGUCAUGUGACCCUGAACAAAUCACUUUGGUUCUUCAAAACUUAGUCUCCCCAUCUGUGAAAUGGGAUCUCAUCCUAUGGCCAAAAUAAACUCAUGUGAGUGAAAGUGCUUUAUACCCUCCAGAGUGAUGCAUAAACAAGAGUUCAUAUUAAAUAAGAAAUUAUAAGUUAAAAGACCCCGAGAGAGAGUAAGCUUCAUGAGGGUAGAGACUAUACCCAUCGAGCUCACUGUGAUAUCCCCACUGCUUAGCAGAGUGCCUGGCACAGAUGGAAGCCCAGGGUUAUAUGGACUAAAUUGUGUCCCUAGAAACAAAAAAAUGAUAUGUUUAAGUCCUAACCCCCAAUACCUGAGAACGUAACCUUAUUUGGAAAUAAGGUCUUUACAUAGGUCAUCAAGUGAAAAUGAGCUUAUGAGGGUGGGCUCUAACCUAAUAGGACUAGUGUCCUUAUUUUAAAAAAUGGAAAUUUGGACACAGACACACUGAGAGGGAAGACAGAGAAUUGGAGUGGUGCAUCUACAAAUCAAGGAAUGCAAAAAACUGCUAGCAAAACACCAGAAACU